CCUACGGGUGGCAGCAGUGGGGAAUAUUGCACAAUGGGGGAAACCCUGAUGCAGCGACGCCGCGUGAGUGAAGAAGUAAUUCGUUAUGUAAAGCUCUAUCAGCAGGGAAGAUCCAAGACGGUACCUGCAGAAGAAGCUCCGGCUAACUACGUGCCAGCAGCCGCGGUAAUACGUAGGGGGCGAGCGUUAUCCGGAUUCAUUGGGCGUAAAGCGCGCGUAGGCGGCCGCCUAAGCGGGACCUCUACCCCCGGGGCUCAACCCCGGGCCGGGUCCCGGACUGGGCGGCUCGAGUGCGGUAGAGGAGAGCGGAAUUCCCGGUGUAGCGGUGGAAUGCGCAGAUAUCGGGAAGAACACCGAUGGCGAAGGCAGCUCUCUGGGCCGUCACUGACGCUGAGGCGCGAAAGCUGGGGGAGCGAACAGGAUUAGAUACCCUUGUAGUC
rnacentral:rRNA from 1 species